CCUAGCAGAGAGUCCGUUGCGAAAGGUGGGUACUGCCUACAUCUUUGACUUCGGCUAGAUUAGGGCAGGAAGAACAAGAAACCCCUCGGGGUGAAGUUAAAAGCCAUCCAAAGCCCCACGGAUCAUUCAAAGGGGUGGGGGGUGGGGGUGGGCGCUGGAGAGGCGCAGAGAAAGAGGAAAGAGGAAGGAGGAGAAACAGGAAAGGGAAGGAGGAGGAAGGAGGGUUUAUGUGAAGCGAUGUCAAUAGCUAUAUUUGGUGUCUACUUAGGCAGCCAAUCAUUUAUUUCCAGGCGGGCAGAAUCACUUAUUCUGCCCUGCUGUCUGUGUGAAAUCUCAUGCACACUGCACGGAAGUGGAAUAGAUUACUGCAGGGCCGGGGGGGGGGGGGGGGGGGGGGGGGGCGAGGAGGCGGUUAACCCACGCUCUUCAGGAAUGGCGGUGCCAGUCUCUCUGUGUAGGAAGUACUCGGGAUAGUAAUUUAGUUGGAAAAGGGUGGCAGGCCAGGAGGCUUGCAUGGAAAUUGCACUUGAAUCUGAGAACAGUUUUUUUUUUUUUCCCUGACUUCUAUGGUAUGCUUUAUUUGUGAUGGGUUGGAAAGGGAUCGAAAGUCUCCCCCCAAGUCUCCCCGAUCUCCCCCUUUUCCCCAUCUGUGGCACCUCUCAGAAUGGGCCCCUGCCCUUGCCAAAUGGAGAGAAUGGCUCUCUGUGUCCUUGGCCGAACUGGCCGACAGGACAGAGGAUAAACUGACCAUGGACCAGAAGUCAGCCCCCGGCACUCCUGGGACCUUCGUGGACUUGAGCACGCCCCUCUCUACUGACACUGUUGAUUACUGAUUGAAAUUUUCUUUUGGGAUAUGGGAAUAAAAAAAAUUAAAUAUCUGCAGAAGCAAGGUGAUUUGAGAAACCUCACGUUGCCAUGGCAUUGCCUUCUGUUCUUGUCAGUUUCCGGAUGGAGAAUGAAGGAGUGAGACAGAGGGGCGCCUGGGUGGCUCAGUCGGAUAAGCGUCUGACUUCAGCUCAGGUCAUGGUCUCACGGUUCAUGGGUUCGAGCCCCAUGUCGGGCUCUGUGCUGACAGCUCAGAGCCUGGAGCCUGCUUGGGAUUCUGUGCCUCCCUCUCUCUCUGUCCCUCCCCGGCUCACACUCGCGCUCUCUCUCUGCCUCCCAAAAAUAAACAUUAAAAAAAAAUUAUAAAAAAAAAAAAAAGAAAGAAUGAGAUAGAGUCUCUGAUCUGCUUUAGAUAUCAACACCCAUAGGAAAGGGGGUUAUUUAGAAUUUUGCUUCAGCUGCCGUAACAGGGAGUUCCAAAGUAAUAGUAGGCAUAGAUUCAUCACAGUGCAAGUUCAUUUCUCUCUCAUGGAGAAGUCAAGGUGAGCAGCUGUACUUCCAUAGCCAUUUCGAAUCCUGUCCUGUUGCUUUGACAUCCCCAAGCCGCAUCAUUCAUCUUGUGAUUGAAUGUGGCCUUUCUGGUUCCUACUAUCAUUCCAUCCCAUAGGAAGAGAGGGGAGAGAAGGGAAUAAUACUCAAACAGUAACUAUGAAACGCUAAUCAGCGCCACGGAAGAGGCAGAUCCAAAGUACACUGGGUGCUGUGUUGCUCGUGGGUGUCCUUGACCUUAGAUCCGUUCCUCCUCUUUUUCCUGCCCGCGUCUCUUUUGUCAAAGGGCUGACCCUUGCAGGCUGCCUCUCCCAGGUUCCUCUGCCAGCCGUCUUUCACCUCAAUUCAGUCGGUGGGAAACGCUGGUGGGAGACUGGCAGGCAGGAGAAAGGGACGUAUUGCUUCCCUCCUGUUUCUGUCUCAUGCAGUGACUCCAACGAUGACUGUGUCUGUUCACGACUCCAGCCCCCACUGGCCCACGGACUCUAGUAACGCUGCCUCCUUUCCUCAUCUUUCCAGCCGUCGGGUGAUAGUAACUUCUUGCUAUUGUUAAUCUCUGGAUUGCUUCACCACCCUGUUUAUUUUUUCAGCUCUCUAUCACCUAGAAUGAAUUCCUUGUAUGAAACCCCCCCAGUUGUAAGUAAAGUGGUCAAACGCUGGCCAGUAUAGGAGGGGGUACCACUCUAUCUAAAGGGAAGUUCAUAAAGGAAGUGACAUUUGUGCUGAAUCUUCAGGGUUGGCUGACCAAUCUCCAUUAAUUAACUCCAACUGGAUAUUUCUGGAUCCUGGGUCUAGGGGAGACACAAGGGGAGAAGUGGUUUGGGACACAGAUUUCUCGGCAGAGGAUUAGUGGAACCCAAAGCUAUGAUUACAACUGCUUCUAAUGCAGGCUUCUCCGCCUCAACACUAUUGACGUUGGGCUGGAUAAUUCUUAACUGGGGUACUGUGUCGUGAACUGUAAAGACGUUUAGCUGCAUUCUUGGCCUCUACCCACGAGCUGCCGUAGGACCCCUCCCCAGUCCUACUCAAGUGAUGACAACCCCGAAUGUCUCCAGACGUUGUCAGAUGCCCAUUGGUGGUGUGUGGGUGGGGGUUGCGGGUAAGAUCACUCAAGUUUACAACCACUAUUCUGUGUUGAUGGCUCCAAGCCAUCAAUAUACUGGCAAUAUGCUGGAGAUCCAAGCAAUAUACUGGAGAACCUUUUAAUUCUAAAGGUCACAAAGUCACUACCUUCCAGAAAGGGCAGCUGCCACCCCACCCCUCUCUUUCAUCUCUACUUCCCUCAGCCAGUGAGCGCCUUUAUUUCUGAUAAAUACUGUCCAGAGAACAAUGAUCCCUUAGUCUCUAAGGGAGUGUCGGGGCCAAGCCAUUGUCUUCUUGCCAAGAAGUGGUGACACAGGAAAUGAGGAGUCAUCAACCCUUUACAAUAUUAUAAUUCUUCUCUGAUUUUUGAGAUGAAAGUUGCAGAGCUCUGAAGGAUGUUUAAUUUUAUCAGUCAUGAUCAACCUUUCCUUUAUAAGACAAUUUUCUGCUUCUCCCAUCCCCAAACACACACCUAUCACGGUCUACUGGACUGUAAAAGAACAAAUCCUCUCUGAGAAAAAAACAACACCCCUAUGACUAUCAACAUUCCUACCACAAGGCAGACAUUUGUAUGCGUGUCAACAUAUUCCAUUAAUCUUUGUAACAAUCUUGUGAUGGGUUUUCCUAUUUCAUAGCUGAAGAACCAACUUGCCUACAGAAAUACACCCACUGUUAGUGAAGGCCUCCAAAGUUCUCCUACCGGUUAAAGGUAAUGGCAAUAACUUAGGCCUGCAUUGUGUUUUCCAAGUCUUCAGCUAUUAUUUUUUCACAUGCAUCAUCUAAGUUGUACUCAUAGCUUAAGUACUAUGGGAGGAGCUAUAGAAUAUCUUGUGCAGGGGAGGAAAUUUCAUGGUUAGGCAACGGGCUAGUCCCUGACGUGCCAAAGGUCUGAGAGCUGGUGGGAUGCUAUUACUGGAGGAUUUAUUUCAGGCAGAAAACAUGAGCAAAGACCCAGAGUCAAGAAUAAGUGGGGGGGUAUAGGGGAAACAAGGGGCUACGCUAACCCAACAGGAGCAGGUGAUUCGUGAUGGUAGGAAGGGAGAUGGGAUGUGUCUGUCCACGGGGAUCAGAUUAGGGAGGGCCUAGAAAUCCAGGCAGGAGAGUUGGGAGAUUAUGAAACAGCCACCGAGACAUGUUGGAAGUUUGUAAGCAAAGAUGAACAUUGUGCAUCCUACUCAGGAGUCACUUCUUCAGAAAAGCCUUACCUAAGCCCCCUCUUAGCGCAUCCUGGAGCUUCCCGUGCACAGUCAAGGCCCUAUGAGACUGUAACCUUUUUGAAGACAGAGCUCUGACUUACCCAACCUUGUGUCCAUAGGAGGUUCUCCAUGAAUGGCCUGAGUAAUGGGUAAAUGGAGCCUGAUAGAGAAACAGAGAUAGUGUGCUCUUCUGACUCCUCAGUACCAUUUGAAGAUGGACUCCAAGGACGGGAAGGCCACUGGACCUAUGAGAUCACAGACCUUGAACGCAGAAAGGUGCACAGAUGGAAUCUCAGAGCAGCCUCCAAGAUGCUCACUGAAGGAGAGCCGAGUUGGAGGAGAGAUGAACUGAGGAACCAUCGGGAAACAAAGAAAGGUGGCUGAGAAUCCCCAGGGCCAUGAAAAUGUGUUUGAGAAGCCCGACCAUCAUCUCCAUCCUAAAUCACGGUACAUUUCAGACAUCAGGAGACAUUUAGGCCUCACUACUGUUACAACUGACAUUCACUUCCCUUCUGUAGGAAGUGAAAUAGUCAUACCCUUAGUCUAAAAAACCCAAAAAAUAUCCUUCCAAAUGCUUCCCUCUUCCUGCAGCCCCCACCCAUUCACGUUGGCAUGUGGACAUGUUCCUGCCAAAUGAGUCAGUCAGAUAGGAACAUUAGUCUAUUUGAACAGAUGUCACUUUAAAAAGACAACAUUGCGCCAGUACACAAAGCUUCCCAAUAAUGCCUGUCGCGUAGCCAUGGCGCUGAUAGAAAGAAAAGGGGUAAUUUUGGUGAAUUCAAAGGAGCUAAGAUUGCUGUAAUUAUGGGGCACUGCUUCUAAACCAUCUUCAGGAGAAAGGAAGGCUGUUUUGUAUCAUGCUGAGAUACGGGAAGGAGGAGAGAGGGGCCUGGCAAGGAGGUUGGCUGUCGGAGGGGAGGAGGUGGGAGACGGCAGUGUUUGCGGGUGGUGUGCUUGUGUCUCAUUGCCGCGUCUUGAGCUGCGAGAAAAUAAGAUCUUCGAAGGUCACUGGGGGCACGCUCCAAAGGGUUUCCCCAGAACAAACGCCCCGUCCUCACAGUCUGCCCAACUCUAGCCCUUCUUUUUCCAAGCCCUGCUCACAAUCCUUUCCCUUAACCCUCUAUGGCAGAACCAGUCCCAGUGGGUUUUAGGACUUCUGUGUUGAUGACCAACGGUCUUCUAUUACUGUGUAACCUUUCGUGUGCUCACACACAGACUUGCUUCUUCUCCUUGAAGAAGGCGUGGGGCUGAUUUCCACCCGAGGGUCCCUGUAGUGCUGUGAAGGCAUGUUGGGUGGCUGGUUGAGUAGGUAUUAAUGAAAGUGGCUGUCAACUAAGGUGGUCUACGACCUAAGGGAUGUGGGGUCUAGUGAUUUAGAGAGAGGAAACAUCCCUCAGGCCCCUAUAAGCCCAGCCCUUUUUUUCUCAGAUUAGAUGAUCUCAAUACAGCCGUGUGAAAACACUGCCACCGAUAGUCUCAAAUUAAGAAUGAAGACAUUAAGGUGGGCUUCCCAAGGCUACAAAGCUCGUAAGUCGCAGAAUCUGGGAUUUCCUCUUCGACCUGUCUGACCCCAAAACUUUAUGUCCCUUUCGGAUGAAGCUUUAAUGCCCCCAACAUCUUCCCUUUGCCUUUGGCCAAGACCAGAAAUUGGGGGAAUUUUGUCCUGGUACCUUGAAACUUUGGUACCUGUUAUACUGAAAACGCUCCUAGGGUGAGGGGUGAUGGGCAGAAUAAUGCCCUCACCCCGCAAAUGCUCAUAUCUUAAUCCCAGAACCUGUGAAUAUAUUAGGUUACAUGGCUUCGGGUAGUUGAGGGUACAGAUAGAAUGAAAGCUGCCAAAUCGAUCACCUUAAAAAAGAGAUUAUCCUGGAUUAUCUGGGUAUGCUCAAUAUAAUCACUGGGACCAUCAGAUGGAGGAAGAGGAGGGCAGAAGAGUCAGAGGAGCGAUCUUAUGUGAGGAGUAGAUGCGCCAUUGUUGGCUUUCAAUACGAAGGAAAGUGUCGUGGGAUGAGGGAGGUGAGAAGCCUCUAGAAGCUGGACAAGGAAAGGACGUGGAUUCUCCCCUAGAGCGAAUCCCUAAAGGAAAUCCCUUCUGAUACCUUGAUUUUAGGCCAGUGAGACAUAAAUCAAACUUCCAAAAUGCACAACUGUGAGAUAAUACAUUUGUAUUGUUUUAAGCCAUUAAGUUUGUGGUAAUUUGUUCCGGCGACAACAGGAAACUGAUACCUGUGGCAAAACGUUGGUACCCGUUUCUGUUACACACUUUUACAGGUCAUUUGAGAACCAGUUUGAAGGAUUUGAAGACGGGAACAGGAGUCCACUGAAUUUAUUUAUUUUGUAUUUUUUUUAAUACGAAAUUUAUUGUCCAAUUGGUUUCCAGACAACACCCAGUGCUCAUCCCAACAGGUGCCCUCCUCAAUGCCCAUCACCCACUUUCUCCUCCCUCUCACCCCCAUCAACCCUCAGUUUAUUCUCAGUUUCUAAGAGUCUCUUAUGGUUUGGCUCCCUCCCUCCCCCAUGGUCUUCUGUUAAGUUUCUCAGCAUCCACAUAAGAGUGAAAACAUAUGGUUAUCUGUCUUUCUCUGCCUGACUUAUUUCACUUAGCAUAACACUCUCCAGUUCCAUCCACGUUGCUACCAAAGGCCAUAUUUCAUUCUUUCUCAUUGCCAAGUAGUUUUCCAUUGCAUACGUAAACCACAUCUUCUUUAUCCAUUUAUCAGUUAAGGGACAUUUAGGCUUUUUCCAUAAUUUGGCUAUUGUUGAAAGUGCUGCUAUAAACCCUGGGGUGUAAGAGCCCCUAUGCAUCAGCACUCCCGUAUCCCUUGGGUAAAUUCCUAGCAGUGCUAUUGCUGGGUCAUAGGGUAGAUCUAUUUUUAAUUUUUUGAGGAACCUCCACACUGUUUUCCAGAGGGGCUGCACCAGUUUGCAUUCCCACCAACAGUGCAAGAGGGUUCCCGUUUAGGAGUCCACUGAAUUUAGACAACAAGGUGGAAAGAAGGGGGUCAAAAGCCCGGACAAACAAAAGGGGGUAGAGCAGAGGUGGAGGAUGAGAAUGGGAAUGCCUGGAAAGUGGGGAUCAUGCUCAUCCACCUUGGAACCCCCAGUGCCACCCAAGGAUCUGGGAUACAGCAGGUACUCCUUUCAAAAUUCACUGGGUCAACAGAAUGGAUGAAUGGGUGAAGGAAGUGAUGGAGGAAGGAAGGAGAGAAUGACUAAGGGGAAGAAGAAAAGCAAGGAAAGAAAGGAUGUAAAGGUGGGGCACCUGGGUGCCUCAGUGGGUUAAGCGUCCGACUUCGGCUCAGGUCAUGAUCUCGCAGUUCAUGAGUUCAAGCCCCGCAUCAGGCCCUGUGCUGACAGCUCAGAGCCUGGAGCCUGCUUCAGAUUCUGUGUCUCCCUCUCUCCCCACCCCUCCCCUGCUCGUACUCUGUCUCUCUCACUCCCUCAAAAAUAAAUAAACAUUUAAAAAAGUUAACAACAAAAAAAGAAAGGAGGCAAAUGUGUGUGGGGUUGAGUGGGGCCAUGAGGGAAACAGGGUGGCCAAGCAGCUAGACUGAAGGUUCUGGAAUACAUUUACGCUAAGGCUGGCACUUCAGCGAAGUGUGCAGCCUGUUCUGGAAACCCAGUAAACAGUAAACUCCUUGCAAGUUUCUCACCAGUAUCAUCACUGGCUCCAAGUUCCUCACUCCAUUAUAUCUCAUAUAUUAUUACACCGAAAAAAAAUAACCGGAUAGAAACACAAUCCUUCAGUAUGACAGUCAAAGGGGGAGUAGAGUAGCAGUGCUUAAGAACAAUGGUUUUGUAGACAAUGGAUUGGAAAGAAAUGUGUUUUCUUCCUGACAUCUCAACCUUUUUGCAUCAGUGAAACUUCAUUCCAAACAUAUACUCCGAAGGAUCAAGUGAUAAUCUCCUUUUCACUUAGACUGUCUUCAUUAACCUUAUCCUUCUAUUGGAAAGCUUUAAACACAGUGUUAAAAGCAGAUUCCUCGUUGCUAAUUUUUAAAGCCUCUCAGUUCCCAUAAAAUGGGAGACAAGAUCCCUAAGUCUGACGAUAUUCACAUAUAAGGGUCAGGUUACCCGCCUCUCAACAGUCCAGCCAACACUUAAGAAAGAUGGAUAAUAUUUAUUAACUUGAAUUACAACAUGGACGUAGCUAUCUACAGACCCAUUUUCUCUGAGCAUCGGAUAUACCGAUUACAUAAGAACCAGGAUCUCGAGUUUAGGUUAUGAAAUAUGUACUUUGCAGUAUUUUUUGCUUGUUAAUGUCUUUCUCUUUAAUGAUUUUAUAGUCUCAUUCUUCUCUCUUUCUUUUCCAUAGACACGGGCAGGUCCCUACAUGCUCAUACCUGUAUACAUGUGCACGUGCACGCGCGCGCACACACACACACACACACACACACAGAGCUAAAUUUUAGUUUAUCUUCAUAGGUAAACAUAGGUAUUCUAGCCCAGAGAAUCGCCACAUUUCAACAGCUAUUGAAAUGAGAUUUGUGUUAACAGAGACAUUGGUUUGGGAUAGCAAGAAACCCAAACCCUAGGUCUCCUGACUCGCCUCAGAUCCAUGUGUUUUCCAUUGUAAUAAACCACUUCCAAGUGUAAUAAAUAUGUCUGUGACAAUACUCAGAGCACCUGUACUCUUUGUCUCUUCUUCCUUCCAGCCUCACCCUUUUCUCUCUGUUUGGACUACAUUCUUUGUUAAUUAAUCAGGUCCAUCCUCAUUUUUAAACCCACGUAGGUGGGGAAUCAGGUAUUUUGCUGUCUGCCUUAGAGUGGCCAUGCCAAACUGAUGCAAAAUGAUGACUAGAAAUGAUGCUGGUGUUAACUUGAGUUAUUAACUUGAAAAUCAUGCUGGGGUUGGUAUGAGUUUUGAAAACUUUCAAAAUCAGAAUGGUUCUUAAUUGGGGACAUGGUUACGUAAAUUUUUAUAUCUAUACUAUGAAAACCAGUGCAUCAAGUAACAUUGAGGAACUAGUUUUCAAUGUACUGAUACAAAAAAAGACGUGCCUGGAACAUUAAAAGAGACAAUCAAAUCGCAGAACAUGAUGAAUAUAGAGUUAGCAUAUUUUUGCUAAAAUGUGUGAAAAAAUACAUAGAAAAAUACACACUCAAUUGAUUUUGUUGAUUACGUACGUGGAGUGGGAUUGGGGGGUUGGUGAAGACAACCUUUUACUUUUUUUUCCUUUAGGAAAUUUGUUGGAAGUUUUGGCUUUCGGCAUCUUUCUCUUUCGUAAUGGAAGCAACAUUCGCGAAGCGGGUUAGCCUGAGGCGCGGGUCCUACCUGGACAAAGAUGGCUGCCUCUAUCCAGCACGGGAGCUGCCUCCUUGGUGACGGCCACGCACAGGCUCGUCUCAUGGCACAUUCCCCCCUGUGGCAUCUGAGCCAACCUCACAGAAUCGAGUCCUGAGCCCCAGCCCCUCUUCCUUGGCUUCCUCUCUCCUCGUGCACUGUCUAGUAAAUGAAGUCUUGCUCUAAGGCCCACAUUCAGGUGGCCCAGCCAAAAUUUCUGGGCACGGCUGUUAUCUUCACAAAUCUGCUGCCCUGACACCCAGCCCCUGGCUCUGUGUGGUGAAUCGGGACACAUAUGUGGUCCCUUACACAGCCAUGGCACGUGGCCUGCUGCAUUAGCCUUACCCACAAACCUGGGCUUUCGUGGAUGUUCUCUUCCUUGUCUUUGAAAACCAGCCCGAUUUCUUGAGUCGUGGAUCUAGUUCACACCAGUUCCUUCUUGGUGGUUUGAUGGCUCCCCCAUAGCUCCAGCUUGAGGCUGGCCCUGGGCGUGGACAGAUCUUCUACACAGUACGGUGCCACUGUGGUGGCCUGACCUCUUGCCGUGACUCUACCGUGCCUGCAACCUGUAGUAGUUGGAUGUGGUUAGUUUCUGGAAUUCAACAAAUAGUGUUCCUGUGCCCCUUUGGGGCCCUCCUACUGCCUUUCCUGUAGUCACUUUUCAUAAGGCCGGCCUCCACUCUGUUUCAGAUUUUUCCUAUCCCCACACCACAUCGUGUGAUAUUCCUCUUUAACCACCCUGAGGUUAACCACUCAACCUAUGGGUUGAGUGACCCAUAAGAUCGAGUUAUCCCAUCAGACCAAACUUAAGGAGAAUAAUGUGACUCAGUUUCCCUCUGAUGCAUCCUUGAAUUGCCUCUGCCUUCCAGCCGGACGGUGCCCCAAGCUUUGGGGUGCCAUUUUACAAUGGCUCCAGACUCCUGAAGAGCUUGCGCUUCGUCAUUUGAAACUCUGCCCCGAAGAGACAGAGUGCUCAGAUCUUAAGCUAGAGAACCACAGUGGCCCUGAAACACUGGUGCACCCCAUCUCCUAACACAGAAUAUAGUGGGGGGAGUGAUGGGGUGCUCCACCAAAGCAGCACCAGAUACUGGAAAAUCCUCUGGCUUUGGCGCUCAGGAAACCUACUCUUGAAUUCUAGGAGCUUUACUUGUGGGCUUAUGUGGUCACUCGACCUUUCUGAGCUUAUUUAUUGUUUAGAUUAAGACUGAGAAUACCCAUUUUGCAAGGCCCUUGGGAGGGUUAGAGAUAACGCGUGAGUAAAAUGACUACAAGUCGAGCUGCUGACAUGGAAGCAAAAGUUGCAGUCCUAGAAUUCUGCCUGCUCGGCCCUCCUCUACUCUCCCCAUUCACGCUAGCACCCCUUCUCAAGUCUGCCCGGAGCUGACAGGUGCACUCUUUCUGCGGGCAGUGGGAGGGCCACUGCUCUAGAUAACGUGUGGUCCCCGAUGUGAAGCCCAGAACUAGAAGCCAUUGAUAUGCCUUAAUGCUGACUCCACAAAGAUGCCCAUGACCUCAAAGAUAAGUGGCCAACUGUCAUGGUGUUCCUGGGACUCUCCUAAUUAGGGCACUGAAUGUCCUGCAUCUUAGGAAACUUCUCAGAACCAGGCAAGCCAAGACAGCUGGUCACCCUAAGAGGGGGAGGCAGGUCCAAGGUGGAGGUCAAAAGACAAUGCCCAACAUAUUACAGAGAAGAUUUAUAUACAAGAAUGUCAAUCAUUAUAUUUAAGGUAGGGAUAAGCUGGGGUGGGGGAAUGAAACCAAAUUCAACUAGAGGAAUGGUGAAAAUUACGGUACAUUUAUUCACACAGUCACUGAAGACCACAUUUUAAAGGCUUUUAUUCUAGCGAUAAGAGCAAUUUUCAUCAUAUAUUACUACAUGAAAAAGCAUAGUGCAGAGCUAUUUAUACAGCAUAAUGGGAGCUAUUGUUGGUGAUUCUUCUUCUUUAUGAAUUUUCUACUGUGAGUUUGUGUUAGUUUCAUAAUCAUACAAAAAGAUCAAUAAUCAUUUCAAGAUACUAUGGGUAAUGAAAGAACUAAGCCCCAAUUAAAGGGUAGCCCCAAUUCCAAGGGCAUCAGGAGCCUCAAGGACGUUACCUGGGGUGACUAACCAUUUUGGUUUGCCCAGGACUGAGGGGAUUCUUGGGGCACAAGACUCUCCGUGUGAAAACUGGGAAAGUCCUGGGCACACCAGGAUGAGCUGGUCAUCCUAAUGUCACUACCUAUCUGUGCCCAAGCACACCUUACAGCCUCUCUAGAAUGGGUUGUUAUCAAGGUGAAAAGCAGCUCAGACCAUGGGUGGUUACACACACACAUUUACUGAGGUAUAUUAUAUAUAUUAUAAGACACCCAACUCUCAAGUAUAUAGUUCAACGAAUUUGGACAAAGGGCUACACCAUGCAGCAUUGCCAAGAUCAAGAUAUAGAAUAUUCCUACCAUUCCAGAAAAUUCCUUUUCCACUCAAUACCCCACUACUCACCAAAGGCAACCACUAUUCUGAUUUAUAUUUUUAUAGACUAAGAGAAGGCAAAAAAUAAAAAAUAAAAAAAGAAAUGAAUAUACAAAUAGGGUUUGAGAGAAAGUGACAAAUAUUGAAGACAGGCAAAAAAAAAAAAAAAAAAAGACCUAAUGUGCAGAUAGUAGGAGUCUCAUACAAAUACUAGUUAUUUACUUAUAUAAUUAUGUCCUAUCUCCAUGGCUCCUCUCUGGUGGGUUCCCUGUCUUUCUCUGAGUUUAUUCAUCACAGGCCACGCAGUAAAUACUUCAAAAGUAAUUUAAAAUUGAGGAAAAGAAGGGAUAAGGAUAUAUAAAGGGAGGAAAAAAUAACAAAAAAUGUAAACAUCCCUUCUAACUCUGGAAUUAUGAAUCUGGGUAGAUUUGGUGGGAGGAAGAAGGCUGGCUAUCAUUGUUUCUACAACUUUACGGGUUAUAGUCCCUAGAAAAUGACUUGCAUUAAAAAAAAAUAACAGUUCCUGAGACCUAUCCCUUCUGGCACACCAGGUGCACAGGGACAUUUGGAUUGGAGUAGUAUAAGAUUUGGGUGGCCAUAGAUAAUGCUUCUAAGUUUAUAAGUUUGGGGAGCCCUGGCUGUGCCCCCUGCACUGAUGCAGCAGAUCCAGGGCUUUGAAGGAAACUGCUGUCCCUUCUCUCAAACUAUCCCUGGCCUGCGUUGCUCCUGGCCAGUUCCUAAGGGAGGUUCAAGGUGAGGAUUGACAAGUAGACCCUGGCUCAGCCUCUGCUUGCCUGGAGCAGACUACCUGGCCCCUUUCCUCUGUACCAUGGGAGAUGCUUCCUCUGCUUAGGCUACUGAGCCAUUGGAACAUUCUCUUCCUUUCCACAGAGUCCUUUCCUUCUUGCGUCCUACUUUCUCAUGGAGGAAGCACUCCUACCCCGUGAAUGUGGUUAUGGUUGGUCUUCCAGAGUCUCUUUGAAAACAGGUGGUGUGGUGUAAGGAAACAGAUUAACCAGAUAUGCACCUAAAUUCUGGCUCUACCAUGGGUAAGUUAUAUGACCUCAGUUCCCUCACUUAUUAAAAACAAAGGGAAUAACAAUACUUAGCUCUCAGGAUUGUCAUGGGCGUUGACACGAGGUCAUGAACAGCAGAGUUUAACACUUAAUUGGUGCUCAGUAAAUAUUAGUUUCUUUUCUUCUACCAGAUGGGCCGUGGGCCUGUUGGUCUCUAGACAAGUUGAUGUUUAUAGGAUGACAAUAUCUGUGCCAUCUGCAAUAAUUUAAUACUGAUUAAGAACUCAAAUAAAAUGAAAGAUACAAAUGUAUGGCACAGGUUUGGUUUGGGAUUUUUGACAUCCCGGCUUCAUUCUGUUUCAGAUUUAGAAAAUAAAUAGGUUUUGUUCAAAUCUAUACAACUUUUUAAAUAGGUAAAACCCCCGAAUCUUUAACUCAGGUGGUGGCACAGGACAAGAAAAAUGCCUUCUUUUUAGCAUUUGUAUCGCUUUAUGUCACUUGAUUUUGGGUUCACACGGAUCUUUUGUUUAAAUCUCUCCCUCCUUUCUUUCACAUGCUCUCUCUCUCUCUCUCUCUCUCUCUCUCACACACACACACACACAGUAUAUUGCCAAAAGCACAACUGACUAACUUUCUUAUUGAACUGAUGUCUCCAUACAAAGAUUUCUAAGUCAAAAGGAGCGAUUGUCUUUGAUGAAGAGAAACCUGUAUAGUGUUUUUUUUUCCCCUACCACAUUUUGAGAGAUUAACUAGCCAUGGCCUGGCUCCUUGGGGCUCCAGUAAUGGUCAGAUGGAAGGUGUCAGGGUAGGUCAGUUGUCAUCAGUGGUCAUUACCUGAAAAUGGACAACCUCCCUGUGACGGGGAAGUCAAGCUGAUACCACUGAAUGACUGGUUCCAGUUCUGCUAAUUCUAUGACCUUGAGCAAAUCGUUUCACCUCUAGGAGCUCUAGUUUUCCAUCUAGAAAAUGAAAAAAUUGGUGAAAUUAUAUCUGGGAUCUCUUCCAGCUCUGAAAUUCCAUGGUUCCUUGAAUACAAAAGUGGUAAUGCAACCCAAACCAACUGCCAGGAACGACAAUGGAGGCCAGAUGAGCCAGCCUGAGAAUGCCAAUGCAGAGAACAUAUGAUGGACCCGAAAAAGCAAAGGCAGUGUUCUCCGGAAGCUGAGAAUGUGUAAAUCAAGGGAUGGGGGAGACACCAAUUCAAACAGAACAGUAUAUAAUUGGUAGGGACGGAUAUUUCAUCUUGACCUCUCUUCUAGCUUUUGAUCUCUGUACUUUACUCUCCCUGUGCUGUUAAAGAAACCAACAAAUCUCAUGGGUUUGAAGGUGAGCCAUUGACAAGGUGGUAAAGGGUAGAGGGCAACAAGGUUAUAAAUAUGGGAGCAAUGACACCCCCAAAUAGGAUAAUUGUAAAAAAGCAUGAUUUGACUCAAAUUGGGGAAGCGACCAUCAACAUUAAAGAGGCAUCUUCUAAGCAGAGAAAAGUCAGGAAAGAGAACUUUGAAAACAUGGAGCAAAUACUGUAGAUCUUUUCCUAUGGAGAAAGACAGAAGGCACUAAGGGAGCAUCAUAGGACACAAGAAUUACGUGAUAUCUUCAUAGGACCCAUGGCAAUGGCCAUCUGGCUGGUUAAGUGCAAGCAAGCGUGUGUGUGUGUGUGUGUGUGUGUGUGUGUGUGUGUGUGUUUUACUGAGUGGAAUGACCUCUCCAUUAACAAAGAUCUCCCUACCUCCCCACAAAACUCAUUCCAUCUUCAGUUGAGUCUGAUUUGUAGAAAGUUGUUUCUUCUAUGGGCUAAAAGAGAGAUCUUGAUAGCAUCUAGUCACUUGGCCUUGUUUUAUUUCCAGAAGCUGGAACAGUGAGUCUCUCUGAUGUUGAAGAUGGCUGGUAUGCAUCUCUGGAAUCUCUUUUCUUCAUUCAUAAUGUCCAUUUCCCUUUGACAGUUUAAUAUCCAAAUCCUCCACCAUCAGAAGGUCCAUUGACCCAAGCCUAGGACUUCUGGAGCAGUCCUAGGUUCCCUUAGCUCUGUCUUCAAUGUCCGUCCCAGCUUCUCUGAUGGGAUUGCAC
rnacentral:lncRNA from 1 species